rnacentral:rRNA from 1 species
AUGGGCGCGGUGGUCAUGAGGAAGGUUGUUGAGGUCGGCGAGAUGAACGUUGUUGCCUACCCGCUGGCCAGGACCAAGGACGGCUGCCCCAGCGCUCCGUCUUCUUCACAAUCUCGUGCUGAGAAAGGAGGGUGUGGCCACGUGGAGGAGAUAGCUGAAGUCGAGGGUGUUGUUGAUGACAUAAAAGUGAAGAGUGUUUGUGCUGUUGGUGGUGACCUCCUCUGCCGCGCGCUGGCGGUGGCCGACUUGCACUGCGACCCUGGCCAUUGA